ACAAUGGAGAGUUUGAUCCUGGCUCAGGAUGAACGCUAGCGGCAGGCUUAACACAUGCAAGUCGAGGGGCAGCGAGAUCAAAGCUUGCUUUGGUUGUCGGCGACCGGCGGACGGGUGCGUAACGCGUAUGCAACCUACCCAUUACAGGGGGAUAACACUGAGAAAUCGGUACUAAUACCCCAUAAUAUCCAGAGAGGCAUCUCUUUGGGUUGAAAACUCCGGUGGUAAUGGAUGGGCAUGCGUUGUAUUAGUUAGUUGGUGAGGUAACGGCCCACCAAGACUACGAUACAUAGGGGGACUGAGAGGUUAACCCCCCACAUUGGUACUGAGACACGGACCAAACUCCUACGGGAGGCAGCAGUGAGGAAUAUUGGUCAAUGGACGCAAGUCUGAACCAGCCAUGCCGCGUGCAGGAAGA
rnacentral:rRNA from 1 species